rnacentral:ncRNA from 1 species
GAGUCUGACAUGCGUGCGAGUCGACGGGUUCUGAAACCUGGGAUGCGCAAGGAAGCUGACGAGCGGGAGGCCCUCACGGGCCGCACCGCUGGCCGACCCUGAUCUUCUGUGAAGGGUUCGAGUUGGAGCACGCCUGUUGGGACCCGAAAGAUGGUGAACUAUGCCUGAGCGGGGCGAAGCCAGAGGAAACUCUGGUGGACGCUCGAAGCGAUACUGACGUGCAAAUUGUUCGUCUGACUUGGGUAUAGGGGCGAAAGACUAAUCGAACCAUCUAGUAGCUGGUUCCCUCCGAAGUUUCCCUCAGGAUAGCUGGAGCCCAUUACGAGUUCUAUCAGGUAAAGCCAAUGAUUAGAGGCAUUGGGGACGCAACGUCCUCGACCUAUUCUCAAACUUUAAAGAGGUAGGAUGGCGCGGCUGCUUCGGUGAGCCGUGCCAUGGAAUCGGGUGCUCCAAGUGGGCCAUUCUUGGUAAGCAGAACUGGCGAUGCGGGAUGAACCGGAAGCCGGGUUACGGUGCCCAACUGCGCGCUAACCUAUAACCCACAAAGGGUGUUGGUCGAUUAAGACAGCAGGACGGUGGUCAUGGAAGUCGAAAUCCGCUAAGGAGUGUGUAACAACUCACCUGCCGAAUCAACUAGCCCCGAAAAUGGAUGGCGCUGAAGCGCGCGACCCACACCCGGCCAUCUGGGCGAGCGCCA